UCCCCCCUCUCUUCAUCUUCCUCACAACACCCUACUCCCAAUCAACCACAUGACCUUCCCGUCUUCUUCCUCAUCACCACCAUCUCCCUCGCCAAGCUCCAACGAGUCAGCCCCGCCUCCAGCUCAACCAGCAACACUGCUGCGUUCAGCUCCGCCCAAUGAACGAACCCCAUUCGCUUGGGCUCCAUCACACGACUCUUCCCUCGUCAAAUAGACAUCCCAUCUUCCUGACCAUACACCAGCACCAGUCGCCAGCUCCACGGCCAAACGACCACAGCCUCAUCCCGUUUCUUCUUCGACCUCAACUGCCUCAUGCCACCGCACGACCACGUUCAGUCGACCAAACUCUUGUCCUUCACAAACCACCAGUAUGUUUCGUUCUCCGCCGUUGCGAACAAACCUCCUGAAACCAACUUCUCAAACCACCAUUUCCGUCAACAAAACAAUCCCAUAGAUGCUUCCUCCAAACGACCAGCCAACGCAGCAGCUGCCUCCAGUCCGUCAACUACCAAACGACCCUCAGCAGUGUCAACCAGUCAGCCCACCUUCUUCACCAGUCAAACUGCUAGGAUCCAGCCCCAUUUCCGUCGUCUCCUCCAGCUUUACGGCGAGCUAGAGGUUUGUUAAGUUUCGUCCGACGAGGUCGUCCGAUGAGGUUGGAGUUCGUUAUCCAUGGAGUCUGUUUCAGUUGUUGUUCGAGGUCGUUUGAAAUUUCCGGCCAGAUUCGAGUUUAUUUUGGUUUCAAAGUUUUCGGGCAGAUUUGUUUCCAUUCGAGUUUGUCGUUAUUUUGAUCCUGUUAGUUGGUUUAAAUUUCAUUUCUAUCCGUAUUUUGUUUGAUAUUUUCGGAUCUAAAAUCAUUAUAUAUUUUAUUAUUUUCUUGUUUCGUUGUUUAUCAUUUCUUGAUUAUUUCUUCAGUUUGUUUUAUUCAUUUGUUCUUGUUUAGUUUUAAUAUGGAAAUAUUUUAGUUUAAUCACUUGA
rnacentral:lncRNA from 1 species